rnacentral:snRNA from 1 species
AGCUUUGCACAGUGCCAGUAUCGUAGCCAAUGAGGUUUAUCCGAGGCGCGAUUAUUGCUAAUUGAAAACUUCUCAGAAAACAAAUCUUGUACUGCGCAUCCCCCACAGGUACUGCAGGAAGUAGGUUUGGCCUACUUCCUGAAGU